rnacentral:rRNA from 1 species
AGAGAUGUGUGAUGACGCAUAUCAAUAAGCGGAGGAAAAGAAACUAACAAGGAUUCCCUUAGUAACGGCGAGUGAAGCGGGAAGAGCUCAAAUUUGAAAUCUUAAAGGGUUUCCCUUGACGAAUUGUAGUUUAUAGAAGUGUUUUCUGUUAGUGGUUUGGUAAAAGUUCUUUGGAAUAGGACAUCAUAGAGGGUGAGAAUCCCGUAUUUGAUCAUUACUUCCUAGCGUUGUGAUACACUUUCAAAGAGUCGGAUUGUUUGGGAAUGCAGUCCAAAAUGGGUGGUAAAUUUCAUCUAAAGCUAAAUAUUGGCGAGAGACCGAUAGCGAACAAGUACCGUGAGGGAAAGAUGAAAAGAACUUUGAAAAGAGAGUUAAACAGUACGUGAAAUUGUCAAAAGGGAAGCGUUUGACACCAGUGUUGUUUUCUCGAAAAUCAAUUAAAAUGGCCGGAUUUUGUGUUGUAUUGACUUUAUCAGCUUUCUGCACUUUUUUUCCUAUCUUUUUUAAUGCACUUUUCGUUUAACAAGUCAGCAUCAAUUUCUUUUGUUGUAAAAGAGUCAUUGGAAGGUGGCUUUCUUUUCGGAGAAAGUGUUUAUAGCCUUUGGCUUCUGCAAUCGGAGAGAUUGAGGUCUGCAGCGUAGAUCCUUCGGGGUUAGAUGCAUUUGUGCUAAGUUAUAGCCUUUCAUAGACAACUUGUUGACCAUGAUCAGUCUUGUAGCUUACUCGCUUAUGCUAUUUUACCUACGCUUAGGAUGUUGAGUCGUAGAGCACGCA